rnacentral:rRNA from 1 species
UACGGAAGGCAGCAGUGGGGAAUAUUGCACAAUGGGCGCAAGCCUGAUGCAGCCAUGCCGCGUGUAUGAAAAAGGCCUUCGGGUUGUAAAGUACUUUCAGUCGUGAGGAAGGUGUUAAGGUUAAUAACCUUAGCAAUUGACGUUAGCGACAGAAGAAGCACCGGCUAACUCCGUGCCAGCAGCCGCGGUAAUACGGAGGGUGCGAGCGUUAAUCGGAAUUACUGGGCGUAAAGGGCACGCAGGCGGUUAAUUAAGUUGGAUGUGAAAUCCCCGGGCUUAACCUGGGAAUGGCAUUCAAGACUGGUUAGCUAGAGUCUUGUAGAGGGGGUAGAAUUCCAUGUGUAGCGGUGAAAUGCGUAGAGAUGUGGAGGAAUACCGGUGGGCGAAGGCGGCCCCUGGGACAAAGGACUGACGCUCAUGUGCGAAAGCGUGGGGAGCAAACGAGGGAUUAGAUACC